rfam:Trichuris trichiura, WGS project CBXK01000000 data, contig: TTRE_401
CAAACGGCCCUUUUCAGGGCCACUAAAUCGAAUGCGAAUCUUUUUG